rnacentral:ncRNA from 2 species
CAAUUAUCAAGAGUGACCGAGGGAUCAGGCCCUAUGACGUCCGGCAACCUCCAGUAUGGAACGGUGCUAAUUCCUGCAGAGUGAUUUCAUUCUGAAAGAUAAGUG